AAAAACAACAUGAGUCCAAAACUGAAGUGGUGAUGCUCGAAUCUUGUGCUCUUAUAGGAAGCAGGAUAAGUUAUUCGAGAAUGUGGUUGCCAAUGGAGCAGAUUAUGUAGACUGAAAUAAGUCUAAUCAGGUAAACUGCAGACAUUAAAAUAGCAAUUAUGUAAGCUCCGACCGAUUUGUACAUGAAAAUUGUCAACGACAACACCUUUAUGCGAAAAGGCCAGCCUUCAAUGAACACUUCCACAGCUGAAACUGAUGGUAUUCCCCGCUUUUACUUUGAUUUAAGAGAUUAUGAAAGUCUUUCCGUCCUACGUCCUACGGAUCGUAAAAACAAUCACCAGCUCCUAGCUCCUUACAGGUUUGCAGAAACGCCAGCUUUCCAGGCCGGAAUUAAAUGAAGGCAUAUGGGCUUCAAAGGCAUAUGGACUCGUAGCUGGACCAAAGCUGGUGCAAAGUUAUU